rnacentral:lncRNA from 1 species
CCUGCAAUAUAACUCGUACAUUUACGGUGACCAGCUACAUAUGUAUCUCAAACUUUUUAUUGUGCAGGUAAGAGACGACAAAAUUUAGAAGAACCGCGAAUGGCACCUGCUACGAAGCAGCCUCAAUGAGUGGCGCCACUUUUAUUGAGGAUGGUGAAUGUACUUGCAAAAUAAUUGAACGAAAUUUUCAUGUGAACCUAUUUUAAUUACACUUAUUAAUGUCUGUCACACAUUUGCUGCUUCAGCACAAGACUUGCCUGUGCCAGAUGCCUUGAACGACAAUAAAGGAUGUCAGGAUGGCAACUUUGUGGCCACAUCUGAUAGACAUGCGAGUAUGGUUGUUGCUUACCUAUCCCACAAAUUAAUCAUAGGCACCCAAAUUCAAAUAAAACUUGUUCUUCAAGCUCUUUACAUGGGUGUUAUAAGCAGCCGUUGCCUCUAGUGCUCUAAUAAUAGUUGAGUCCUUAUAUGGCACUAGAACACCUUUUUUCACUUUGUUCCAGUUCCACUUGUCCGACGGAAUUUUCGUCACACCUGAGCAAGCGUAAAAACUGUUCAAAAAUAAAAAUCCAAGCAUCCUUCUGAGACACGGCCCGGGUGAUAUGGGGGAACGAAGUAUUGGCAAAAAGAAGUGUCAGCUGCAGACUUGCGCCAACAAAAAGUGGCAGCAGUGAGCAGCCAUCCAAGCAGCUGAUGCCUCCAAAGGUGGAGGUUGUUUAUGGUUGUCUGCGGCAUUGGGGCCAGGUACACAACCAGGACAUUGGCGCUGCAAAGCGUGCCCUGCCAAGGACCCUCAGU